GCAGGCUUGGAGCGGCUUAUGUUAACCCGCUGCUGGCACAGACUCGUGGGAUAAUCCACAUUAGCCAGCCAGUUUAGAGGUGAAAUGGGAACAGGCAGACAGUGCCAAGCCGUUUUCAAUAGCAGGUGACAUUUGAGUUAGUAACAAGGUAGCGGACGAGUUUUUAAAGGGUUUUUCGACCUUACAUUGAGUUGAAAGGCAUUGUAAAAGCAGUUCGUUUGUAAAGACUCAUUCAUAAAGUUCUUAACUCAGAGCAUGUAUCUAAGUAGAGAUGGUAACUGAGCUUACCCUUCCCGUAGUGGAAAUCACAUGAGACAACAAUGCAGCAUAAUUUUUUACUAUUUGUCUCAGUUAAAAUGUAGCAUUUCUUUGAGUUCGUAAGGCUGACGGUCUCUUUCAAAGAGGCUGGACUCAACCGUGUGACUACCGCUCCCUGGUGGUCUAGUGGUUAGGAUUCGGCGCUCUCACCGCCGCGGCCCGGGUUCGAUUCCCGGUCAGGGAACACAACUUUUUGAGCUUUCGGUCAAUCACAGCAAAAAUUUUUGGCACAACUUCACCUGCUUCCAAGGUGCGUGGGGAGGAUGAAAAAAUUCACAAUGCACGGACUCCAGCAACACUUCAAGGAAAGAGGAACAACUUUAUUGACCACAUCACAUCUUCAUAGAUAAACCAGCUCCCAUAUAACAAGUCACACCCUCUCAUGCAGCUCACUUCAGUCUUACCGCUCACAGAUCUUACCGUGGUGGGCUUGGAAGAGGCAGAGCUCUGUUGAGUUCGCAGCAUGAAGGUAAACAGACAGACACA